rnacentral:ncRNA from 2 species
CCGCUCACUCGUGGUGAAUUUGAGCCGGCCCGCUUGCAGCCACGUUAAACAACCUUGCUAAAAGGCCGGGGACGAACAGAC